AACCUGAAGCACCUAACUGGCCCCACAAGUUUGGAUAACCGAGGUACCUGACCUACGUCGUAAAUGAGGACACCCAAGGUACCUUACCUACACUAUAAAUAUGGACACUCGAGGUACCUGACCUAUACUACAAACUGGGCACCUGGGGUACCUUCACUAUACCAAUAAGCGCAGUAUCUGAGGUACCCAACAUACACCAGAAAGCCUAGAGAUUAAGGUACGAGGGGUACCACAAAUCAUAUGCGAAGCAGUCAAGGAAAAGUACUAAAAAGUCAGUCACGAGAAACGUCUCCAUUACCUAGAAGAUAAUAUUUGAUUUUGUGAAAAUCAAAUAUUAGAAUAUCAUGUUGAAAAAGCGGUGACAAUCGACUGUCCCUUCUUCUAAAAAGUGAAGGACGCUGCACGAAGGAUAGUGGUUCUCAGCCGUCCUGCCAGACAACCUCUGCUAAGGUAUCUUGGACCACUUUCCAGCAUACAUGACGUGUCCAAAAGGAUAAAUUACGCCAUGAACGCCUUCUUCCUCCCCAAGCAUGCGCCUAAAAGCCCAAAAAUCAUAUAAAGGUAAAAAAUGACAUAAAAUGCCUAAAAAAAUGACAAUCAAUAACAAUUAAAAGUGCACCACGUGGCAGUAGGGGUACUCCACAUAUAAAGGCGUCCAGGUUCUAUUUUGAUCAUUCAUUAUCACACACACACUUCACAAAAAAAGUGCUAAGUUUCUCUUCAACCUUAAGCCAAUAUUUUCAGAGGCCUCACAAGCUCUCAUCUUUAUAAAAAAAACUUAAGUAGCUAAUUUGAGCAUUGAAGUGUGGACGCAGGGCCACCCCAGCUCCACCUCUAACCUCUUUUAUAUUGUUUUCAAGAUUAGAAGCUCACAUUAAAAAAUAUCUCCUUUCUAGAUUCGACCUCUUGUUGUAAUCACCAUCCUCCCACUCUCUUUACCUCCUUCGGACCUUAAAAAUAUCGCACGCAAUAACCUAGUGUGAUACCCUGGUUACCCAAAAAAAAAAUUAUUGUUCUAGAUAGUUUUCUCUCUUUUCCUCUACUCCAAAAUUUGUCUAAAACAAUUGGUGUCGUCUGGGUGGGAAGCAUACAACAAGUCUCCACAAUGGUUAUUAAACUAGUUGUUGUGUGUGGUCUAAACCAUGGCACCUCAUGUACCUUCCGAAGCUUUAAUGGCAAUCCCUAUAAGGAUGGGAGAUGACAACAGUGAUGAAGGUAGUGAUCCCACAAGGAAAAUAACCAGGCUCAGCAAGGGCAAGUCCAUCAAAUAAUCGAUUGGUAUUCAUCAAGAUGAAGAACCUAUUUCUCAUAAGCAUUUCAAGGAUCUCGCUCAUGCAAUUCUUAGGCAAUGGGAUCUCGGGUACCCGAAAAGCCACUUCUACCAGCGACUACAGAUUCUCCAUCACAGUAAACAGACCAACAAAUCAUGCUAAGAGCUGAGGUACCUGAGAUCAGUAAGCCAAAACAUGGGCAAUCGGGUACCCGCGAGGAUCUCUGUGACAAGUUAAAUGCCAAAAGGGCUCUCAAAUAGCAGCAACAUCAUCAGGUGCCCCUAUGGUACCCCUCGAGUUCGUGGAAAAAAUGGAUCACCUUGAAGUCCAAGUGAAGCUCCUUUGGAAAAAGGCAAAACGUUACAAGUACUCCAACACCAAUGACCUACCAUUCACCAUUCACCAUGGAGAUUCGGACAACAGCUCUCCUAAAGACUUUCACCAUGCCUCAGAUACCCCAGUAUUCGGGUACCACUGAUCCCCUGGAGCAUGCCGAGCUAUACCGUAACCAAAUGCUUAUUAAGGGUGCUGAUGAGAUUGCCAUGUGUAGGAUGUUUACACACACACUCACGAGCCCCGCAAAAUCAUGGUUUCGAUUGGUGAAGGCAUGUAGUAUAUCCAACCUACACCAGCUGUUAUCUGAAUUUACUAAAGAGUUUUCAUAUGUUUCCACUCAAGAUAGGGCAGCCUCCAAACUUGCCUUCAUCAAGCAAGGGAAAUCUGAGUCUUUGGCGGAGUGUGUAAGUUGUUUCCCCCAAGAGGUGCUGCGAACCAGAGCAUUUAGACACAACACGUUAACGUACUUUAAGAAAAAUUUACAGUUGGGUAAGUUAUUGCAUUCUUUUCAAAAGAAACGUCCACUUUCAUAUGGGGAAGGUUGUUCCCAAGCCUUACAGUAGGUGGAUAUGGAUGAGAAAUGUCAUUUAAAGCAGCAAGAAGAUAAAGCUAAAGUCAUGAAAAGCAGAAAGAAGCCCAAGAAAAUGGAAACUCCAGCAACAAGGGUACCUCGGGUAUGAAACCCGCCACAUGUUACCCAACGUAGACGAAGAUAUAACGAUGCUGGUGUUUCUAGGGUACCCCACCUUCCUAGAUCAUCGCCGCCAGAACAACGAGAGCCACCACCGAAACUUUGAUACGAAUCUUACUAUCCGUUAAAUCGUUCCCUAGAGUAAAUCUUUUACCAGAUUCGAGAUAGUGGCCUAUUCCGACCACCCAAGCCAAUGAAGAGUACCCUAACAUAAAUCGCAAUCCAAAGUAUUGCGAGUUCCACAAUGAUUUCGGUCAUAGCACAACUGAGUGUUUUAGUUUGCACGAGGAAAUUAUAUUCAGUUUUAAUGAGAGUUCUUGAUUUUAAAUCCUCUUAUAAUAUAGACAUUUUACUAUUAUUUUGAUUUAUAGAUAUUUCAAGUUAUUUUUUGCAGAAAUAAAGUUUUAGUUCAUUCACACGCUGAUUUUAGUAUGCUUUGAUCUCACUAAGGUCUAAGGUGGACUAGUUAGAAAUAAGCAUAUUAAGAUCAUAUUACAUGAAAUUUUUAUACUACACAUUCGCAUUAUAAUCCAUGUCAUUCAAUUGUAUUGGUAUAAUGAUCAUUGAUGGGUAGAGUUACAACAGUUGUAACGAAGACCAUUUUGAUCCUAUGUUGGUAUAAUUGAUGGACCGAAUUAUAUUAUAGAUACAUUUAAGCAAUGAUAGUAAGGUUGAGCUCAUACGGUUAUUUUUGCAAAGUAUAAUUAUAAAGUUACACAUAUGACCCAAGUGGGAGAUUGUUGGAUCUUUAAUCCAAUAUUAUUGGAUCCUUAAUCUAACGUUGGGCAUAUAUGUAAAUAACUAUGUGUUACAAACUACCUUAUACGAUUAAACUCAAAUAAAAGUGAUCUAUUAAGGUUUAAUAUGGACUUCAAAUGUAUUUAAUAGGGUGUGGGGCCUUUAAGGGUAAUUUCUAUUGCUAUGAUAGGUUAAAAUAGGAAUACCUAAAGACAACAGAAAAAGUUGUAUUUAUAAGUGGUUAUGGCCCUUAGGUCAUACGUAUCAUUCUAUUCUUUAUGACAUCCCAUCAUCAAAGAGAGUACAGAGAAACUUAAAAUAUUAUCUAGGAGAACAUGUUGAUUUGAAAGGCCAACCACACAAUUUUAAAGAGUAAUUGCGCAUUAUGGAUUUAGGUACACUUCUACAUAUUCUGUUAUUAAUUAUUGGAGAUAUAACAUGAAUUUUCUUAGAUUAUAAAUGAUGGUUUUCACCAAAAGAUUAUUUUUCUAACAUGUGAACGAUAUAUACUCCUAUUCAGGGUCAUGGUGGCUAGGGCUGCCUGAUUAGGAAAAUAACAAUAUUUAAAUAUCCUAAUAUUUGAGUCUUUCAUGAGUCUUAAUUUUAUUUAAGAUAAUGAACGUAAAAUUAUUUAUUAUUUUAUUCUAUUAUUCAAUAAAUGGAUGUUAAUUACGACUCAAAUUGAUAAUCAAAUACUAUGAUUCCUAAUAGUACUCAUAUAAGGUAAUGUAUAAUAUGUAUAAUUUCAACUUUUCAUUAAUAAAUUUUUAUGUAUAAAAUGAAGGGAAAUUUUGAUAAAUAAAAUCAACUUUAUCUAUGAUGGAAGGGGUUUAAUUUUUUUACUGUGUACUAGGAGAUUGCCUCAAUCACAUAGGCCUUGACCCGUAAUUGAUAUUGGCACAAUUUUAUUCAUAAUUAUUUUUUAGCUAAACUUCAAUUUACCUCCUAAAUAGAAUGACAAUCUUUAAUUUACCAUUCAAAAGUAUGAAAACUUUAAAUAUUAGGAUGAUGGCAAAUUGGGAGGGCAGAGCUAGAGCAUUCAUAUGUCUGGAGGUAAAUUGAAUAUUAUCAUUUUAUUUAGUGAACUGAAGUUUAACUCCUUUUUUUUAAAUAGAAGUCUAUGGAUAUCAUAAAUAUUUAUGUUUUAAAAAUAAGUUAUUAUCAUUUUACUACCUAAUAUUAUUUUAUAUAUUACUUUAUAUCCUAAAUUUUCUAAUAAUUACUUUUUCCCCACUUAGUAUUACAGUUUUUAUUGUUUUACCACUAGGCUGUUGAAGCUAACAAAAUUUUUAACAAAAAUUAUAAUAAAAGUCUAUUUUCCCUAAAUCAUGUAGUUAUGAUUUAACUCUCUAAAUUAAAAAAAUAUAAAAUUAAUUAUAUACAAAUACAUAAUGCUUUUAUCAAUUGAUAUUUUAUAUAUCUAAAAUAAUUAAAUGAUAAAGUUGUAAAUAUUAUACCUUCUGACAUUCUUAAAAUACUGAAUAAACUAAAAUUCUUAAAAUACUCCUGUAAAAUCAGUAAUUCAUUAAUGGAGUUAAUGACUUGGUGAUAAAAUGAUAAAAAUUGAAAUAUUAAAUAGAAAAACAAUUGUCAAAAAAAAUUUGAUUGUAAAAUAAUAGGUCAGAAAAUAUUAGAUUGUAAAAUAAUAAUGUCCCUUUAAAAUUUAUAGAAUCACGAUUAUUACUUAAAAAUUAGAAUAUGCUGAUAAUUUGUAAUUCCACACAUGAAUGUUGUACUUGUUAUCUACUCUCAACCAAAUAAAUUAAAGACCAUAAUAAGAGUCCCUACGAACCCUACCAACCCCUUCUUCAGCCUUGUUGAAAGCCUGGCUUAACACAAUAAGCUAUAAGAUAAGAGUAUAAGUUGAGUACCGACACUAUUAUAAUUAACUGAACAUAAACAUCUAAAUAUUAAAAAAUUUAGUGACAAAGGCAUAAAAAUAUUGUACAAAUUAACGUGAUAUGUAGGAGUUGGUUGCUUAGAAGUAGAAAAGUAAUUAAUACAAUUAAUGAAAAUAAUUAUAUAUUCAAACAAUCCUUUCGCAUCACAAUGUAAAAGGGUAAAUUUUAUAUAGCGUCAAUUCGGAAUGAUGAUCUUAAAUUUACUCUUUUAAGAGAAAUAUUAAUUUAUCUUCAUUUUCGUUUAAAAGAUGAGAGCAACUGUAGGGUGCGUGAUGAAAUUUAUUUCUAAAUUCUUAAUUAAGAAAUGGAGAAAAAUUAAUGUUUUCAAAACUAAGGGUGCGUAAAUAUCCCGAUCAGAAAAAUUUGAGUUUGGAUCAGAUGCGGAUAAAAUCUCCAAAUCGAGUUAUGAUUCGAAAGUUUGAUCAGGUUGACACUUCACACUGAAUUAAAAAAAUGUUUUAGAUAUUUAGAUAUAGGCAAAUAACUCAAUCUGAUUCGAAAGUAGUAGUUUUUUUUUUUUUUCAUUUGAUUUCAUAGUAGCAGUUUUUAUUUUUUGUUGAAAAUUAGUAAAACGGACGAAAAUGAUGUAAUUACAUUAAAAUAAUCUUCUAAUAACUAAAAAAAAAUUUACAAAGAAAACUCAAAAUAUAAUUUGAACAUUUUAUGAAUCCAUCCUAUUUGACUCAAAUCUGAUUUUAACUUGAAGUUGACCCCCAGCCACAUAUAAUCAUAACCCAAUCCAAUCUGAUUCUAUCUGAACUCAAUCCGAAUUUGAUCAGAUCGGAUCAUACUAUAAGUUUAUAUUGAGUUUGAAUUAUUUUAUAAACCCGAUUAGAUAGAUCUAAAUCGGGUUAAUCCGAAUCUGAAUUUGCCCACCGCUAUUCAAAAUUUUGGAGAAUAAAUUGAAGAUUGUCAUUUUUAGUGAAGGUAAAUCGAAACUUAGGCAAUCUAAAAAUAUAUGUGGAUUGUAGGUAGGCAAUGAUAAUAGCAUUACCUAAUUUGGCUGUCUUAUGAGUUAUCAAAGAGGCAAAGCUUCUGCCAAAGAGCAUUGCGUCAUCAAAAAGAGGUAUCACUUAAUCUUAUUCUAUGUUUGGAAGAACAAAUUAAAGAAUGAUACUGCUGGUGUCAUCAAGAAAUUAAAAUAUAAUCUCACUCAGGGUAGGUAAACAUUGAUGAUGCGGAGGUCGGAUAUUUUCACCAGCUCAGCUAAAAACAAAUCCUAUGAUGUCAAUCAAAAAAAUUAAAACGCAAACCAGAUCAGUUCGACCGCAUGAGAUCGACCAUAUAUAUAUAUAUAUAUAUAUAUAUGUUUCAAUCCGGAAUCUUAAAGUGCAGGAACGUCCGAAAAAAUACAUAAAUCGUGUGGUUUAAACGCUUUAAGUUUUAAGUUUUUAAAAUUUUCCCGAACAUUUAUCGCACUUUAUAUUUAUAUUAAGAGGUUAAAAAGGACAUGUUUUAUUUUUAAGGGAUCUACUCAACCACUCGUAACUACUGGAAAUUGUCUAUCAUCAGAGAAUGGAGUGGACUAAAAUCAAGGAGAAAUCACCCGCUAAGAAUGGCCUAUUUAAACCAAACAAAGGAUCAGAGAAGCAGGGAGUAAAUUCAACUAAAGAAAUAAAGAAUCCCCAAGAAAUCAACUACUCUGCUUUCUUACUACAUGAUUUCCAAUAGCAAGUUCCAGUUGAAAAAACUUUAAUUUAUAUCCUGUUUCCCAGUUUUUUUUUUUUUUUUUACCCUUCUCUUGUACACAAAAUAUCUGACAUAGACAUAUAUAUGCGGUAACCUUUAUCGGCAAGUUCUUACAAUUUUCUGUGAUUGGCAGAUAAAGGAAUUUGAGCUUGGCUAGGUAAAUUAGAAGUCAGCUCGGCAAAACAGUGUCGGUCCUGCUUUCCUCAAAAAAAUAAAUUCAGUUAUUAAGGUGAUUUUUCAACAUCAACAGAUUAUACUUACACAUUCGACAAACUUGUAACAAAACAAUAUAGUCUAGCUAUUAGGAACACCAAAAAGACAUAUAAAGCUAGGAGACAAAAUAAAAUAAUGGAUGAGGAGGUGUCAUCACAUGUUGAACAAAAGAGGUGGCAAUGGCAUAUCCCAUGGAAGAUGCUAUAUUGUGCAACCUCUAUUUCAUUUUUCCAUUAUUUUUUUUCCUCCUUUUUCCUUCCUUUAACCAAAAAGUGAACACACACCUACUUAAAUCACUUCACCUUCAAACUGCUCCACGAUCAAAAUAACUAGGGAAAAAAAAAAAAAAAAUAUAUAUAUAUAUAUAUAUAACAACCCGUACAAGUUUCAUUAGCAAACCCUCUUAAAAACUGCACCAUACAGCAAAGGGGCACCCCUGCCAGUGGCUCCAAACCAAAGCAGCAGGGGUGCCCAGCAUCGUCUCAAAAUUUGGUCAGAGUUGGUGUAGUAGCUAUUUUAACUGAAUCGCCUUAGUAAUCAUAUGGCCGGUUUUCUCUAGAAGGGCAACUUCGAUCCUUUGGCAUUUUCAGUGCUUAUUCCUCCGGAUCUCUCUUUGCUGCAGCCUGCUUCUGCAUGUGAUUUGAGGGCCAGGAAUUUAUCUCAAGGGUGAAUCGUAAUAUGUUUAAUUUUCUAUUUGUUCCUUUUUACUUUUGAAUUUGAGUAUUAUGUGUUUAGUAUUCUGUCAGUUGUUUUACCAAAUAUGUAGGCCUUUGGGUUUUAGACACUAGUGUUCGAAAUUGCCAUCCAGUUUGUGUGUUAUCUUUGAGCAUGCGUUUUACUUCAUUUGCUUGAAUAAAGAAGGUCAGUCUUCGUUGUCAUGGAUCAACAAUCUCUUUUGAUCUCAUCUAAAAUAUAUUAUUGAUAACCAUGCUAUGACAUAAAUAUAUAUAGGAUAAGGUUUAAUUCCAGUGCUAAGGAUUGGUUUAUUAUAACUCAGUCGUAAAUUGGAAUCUCACUAACGUGAAUGUAUUAAUAAAAUAAAUGAUAUUAUUUAGUGAUGAGAGAUAAUAAUAGAGAAUAUAAUUAUCUUUAAGAGUGGAGGAGCUAUUUACACUCUUAAAUAAUUUAUUACAAAAAUCCUCAUCAUUUGAAUUAUCAUUAGGGAGAAUUUAUUACAAGGUUUAUAACAUUAUCACAUAUAUAUAAUACACUC
rnacentral:lncRNA from 1 species